AUCCUACGGGGCGCAGCAGUGGGGAAUAUUGCACAAUGGGGGGAACCCUGAUGCAGCGACGCCGCGUGAGUGAAGAAGUAUUUCGGUAUGUAAAGCUCUGUCAGCAGGGAAGAAGAAAGACGGUACCUGACCAAGAAGCCCCGGCUAACUACGUGCCAGCAGCCGCGGUAAUACGUAGGGGGCAAGCGUUAUCCGGAUUUACUGGGCGUAAAGGGAGCGUGGGCGGCCUGCCAAGUCUGAUGUGAAAUACCGGGGCUCAACCCCGGGGCUGCAUUGGAAACUGGCAGGCUGGAGUGCCGGAGAGG
rnacentral:rRNA from 1 species